GCCUGGGUGGCUCAGUCGGUUGAGCAUCCGACUUCGGCUCAGGUCAUGAUCUUGCGGUUCGUGAGUUCGAGCCCCGCAUCGGGCU
rnacentral:tRNA from 1 species